GACGAACGCUGGCGGCGUGCUUAACACAUGCAAGUCGAGCGGUAAGGCCCUUUCGGGGGUACACGAGCGGCGAACGGGUGAGUAACACGUGGGUGACCUGCCCUCAGCUCUGGGAUAAGCCUGGGAAACCGGGUCUAAUACUGGAUAUGACUCCAUGACGCAUGUUGUGGGGUGGAAAGCCUUGUGCGGCUGAGGAUGGGCCCGCGGCCUAUCAGCUUGUUGGUGGGGUGANGGCCUACCAAGGCGACGACGGGUAGCCGGCCUGAGAGGGCGACCGGCCACACUGGGACUGAGACACGGCCCAAACUCCUACGGGAGGCAGCAGUGGGGAAUCUUGCGCAAUGGGCGAAAGCCUGACGCAGCGACGCCGCGUGAGGGAUGACGGCCU
rnacentral:rRNA from 1 species